rnacentral:tRNA from 1 species
GGAGAGGUUGCUAUAGGUAGGGCAAAUCGUUUGCUAAACGAACACCUUCGGUGCAGCGAAGCUAGCGAGGAUUAAUCCCCUCUGUGGGUUCGAUUCCCACUCUCUCCG